UAAGGUGGUUAUUGCAGCGGGGCUCACCUCUUCCCAUUUCGAACAGAGAAGUUAAGCCCGCUAGCGCAGAUGGUACUGCUAAC
rnacentral:rRNA from 1 species